CUUUCCAGCCAGCGCCGAGCAAUGGGCAUCUCUCGGGAAAACUGGCACAAGCGCCGCAAAACCGGGGGCAAGAGAAAGCCCUACCACAAGAAGCGGAAGUAUGAGUUGGGGCGCCCAGCUGCCAACACCAAGAUUGGCCCCUGCCACAUCCACACAGUCCGUGUGCGGGGAGGUAACAAGAAAUACUGUGCCCUGAGGUUGGACGUGGGGAAUUUCUCCUGGGGCUCAGAGUGUUGUACUCGUAAAAUAAGGAUCAUCGAUGUUGUCUACAAUGCAUCUAAUAACGAGCUGGUUCGUACCAAGACCCUGGUGAAGAAUUGCGUCGUGCUUCUCGACAGCACACCGUACCAACAGUGGUACGAGUCCCACUAUGCGCUGCCCCUGGGCCGCAAGAAGGGAGCCAAGCUGACUCCUGAGGAAGAAGAGAUUUUAAACAAAAAACGACCAGAAAAAAUUCAGAAGAAAUAUGAUGAAAAAGAAUGCCAAAAUCAGCAGUCUCCUGGAGGAGCAGUUCCAGCAGGGCAAGCUUCUUGGGUGCAUCGCUUCAAGGCCGGGACAGUGUGGCCAAGCAGAUGGCUAUGUGCUAGAGGGCAAAGAGUUGGAGUUCUAUCUUAGGAAAAUCAAGGCCCGGAAAGGCAAAUAAAUCCUUGUUUUGUCUUCACCCAUGUAAUAAAGCUGUUUAUUACAUGGGU